GUGUGUAUGAGAGAAGGUUAGUGCUCCCGUCACAAGGAUGGAGGUCACCCUGGAGCCUGACAACGUGCAUACAGUUAAAGGGUUGUCACCUACUUUGAGGCAUUUAACCAUCGUUUUUA
rnacentral:ncRNA from 1 species